GUCAGCAUGGUGUAAUGGCUUGAGCAUUGGACUAGGACUCUGAAGGCCCGGGUUCGAUUCCCAGCUCAGCCA